rnacentral:rRNA from 1 species
GACGAACGCUAGCUACAGGCUUAACACAUGCAAGUCGAGGGGUAACGAGAGGGAAGCUUGCUUUCCUUGUCGACGACCGGCGCACGGGUGAGUAACGCGUAUCCAACCUGCCCCCAACUAGGGAAUAACCUUGCGAAAGUAAAACUAAUACCCUAUAAUUUCCUCAGAUGCCAUCUGACGAGGAAUAAAGAUUUAUCGGUUGUGGAUGGGGAUGCGUCUGAUUAGCUUGUUGGCGGGGUAACGGCCCACCAAGGCAACGAUCAGUAGGGGUUCUGAGAGGAAGGUCCCCCACAUUGGAACUGAGACACGGUCCAAACUCCUACGGGAGGCAGCAGUGAGGAAUAUUGGUCAAUGGGCGGGAGCUUGAACCAGCCAAGUAGCGUGCAGGAUGACGGCCCUAUGGGUUGUAAACUGCUUUUAUACAGGAAUAAAGUUAGCCACGUGUGGUUAUUUGUAGGUACUGUAUGAAUAAGGACCGGCUAAUUCCGUGCCAGCAGCCGCAGUAA